AUUGAACGCUGGCGGCAGGCCUAACACAUGCAAGUCGAGCGGAUGAAGGGAGCUUGCUCCUGGAUUCAGCGGCGGACGGGUGAGUAAUGCCUAGGAAUCUGCCUGGUAGUGGGGGAUAACGUCCGGAAACGGGCGCUAAUACCGCAUACGUCCUGAGGGAGAAAGUGGGGGAUCUUCGGACCUCACGCUAUCAGAUGAGCCUAGGUCGGAUUAGCUAGUUGGUGGGGUAAAGGCCUACCAAGGCGACGAUCCGUAACUGGUCUGAGAGGAUGAUCAGUCACACUGGAACUGAGACACGGUCCAGACACCUACGGGAGGCAGCAGUGGGGAAUAUUGGACAAUGGGCGAAAGCCUGAUCCAGCCAUGCCGCGUGUGUGAAGAAGGUCUUCGGAUUGUAAAGCACUUUAAGUUGGGAGGAAGGGCAGUAAGUUAAUACCUUGCUGUUUUGACGUUACCAACAGAAUAAGCGCCGGCUAACUUCGUG
rnacentral:rRNA from 1 species